rnacentral:tRNA from 1 species
UGAGGGGUAGUUUAAAGAGAAUGUAAGAUUGUCAAUCUUAUGGUGUCAAUAUUAGACUCCCUUAG